ensembl:misc_RNA 7SK 7SK RNA
GGAUGUGAAGGUGAUCUGGCUGCAACAUUUGUCACCCGCUCGAUUGUCAGGAUUGAUUUGGUCAAUCUGGCUGGCUAGGCAGGUAUCCCUUCCUUCCUCACUGCUCCACGUGCAUCCCUCCCAAGCAUCUGGGAGUCCAGUUGAAGAGGACGGCCACCUUUUCCUCCAUCAAGGCUAUGCAAAUAGCUGUGCUUUCCUGCUAGAACCUCCAAACAAGCUUUCAAAUGUUACUGUGAUCAUAACAUUAGAUUUGCAAAGGCUUUGAGGUAGUAGUAACUUGGCAAACAUUAGGAAUGGCAAACAGACCAGUAUGAAUCCAAAGGAAAGAUCCUAGUAU